rnacentral:rRNA from 2 species
UAUUGGGCGUAAGAGCUCGUAGGCGGUUUGUCGCGUCUGCUGUGAAAUCCCGAGGCUCAACCUCGGGCUUGCAGUGGGUACGGGCAGACUAGAGUGCGGUAGGGGAGAUUGGAAUUCCUGGUGUAGCGGUGGAAUGCGCAGAUAUCAGGAGGAACACCGAUGGCGAAGGCAGAUCUCUGGGCCGUUACUGACGCUGAGGAGCGAAAGCGUGGGGAGCGAACAGGAUUAGAUACCCUGGUAGUCCACGCCGUAAACGUUGGGCGCUAGAUGUAGGGACCUUUCCACGGUUUCUGUGUCGUAGCUAACGCAUUAAGCGCCCCGCCUGGGGAGUACGGCCGCAAGGCUAAAACUCAAAGGAAUUGACGGGGGCCCGCACAAGCGGCGGAGCAUGCGGAUUAAUUCGAUGCAACGCGAAGAACCUUACCAAGGCUUGACAUAUACCGGAAACGGCCAGAGAUGGUCGCCCCCUUGUGGUCGGUAUACAGGUGGUGCAUGGUUGUCGUCAGCUCGUGUCGUGAGAUGUUGGGUUAAGUCCCGCAACGAGCGCAACCCUCGUUCUAUGUUGCCAGCGGUUCGGCCGGGGACUCAUAGGAGACUGCCGGGGUCAACUCGGAGGAAGGUGGGGAUGACGUCAAAUCAUCAUGCCCCUUAUGUCUUGGGCUUCACGCAUGCUACAAUGGCCGGUACAAAGGGCUGCGAUACCGUAAGGUGGAGCGAAUCCCAAAAAGCCGGUCUCAGUUCGGAUUGAGGUCUGCAACUCGACCUCAUGAAGUCGGAGUCGCUAGUAAUCGCAGAUCAGCAACGCUGCGGUGAAUACGUUCCCGGGCCUUGUACACACCGCCCGUCAAGUCAUGAAAGUCGGUAACACCCGAAGCCGGUGGCCUAACCCUUGUGGAAGAGCCGUCGAACGUGGGAUCGGUAA